rnacentral:lncRNA from 10 species
AAGAUUGUGUUAUCCUAAGCCAUUUCUAUUUUGGAGUUUGUAGCCACAAAGAUGAAAUAUAGAAUCAGCCUUGACUACUCAAUUUCCUUUCAUAGACCCAUGUUGAGAAGACACUACUAACGUCCAGUGGGAAACAAGUAGACAAUUGAUGAAGCUCAAAAAACAGAAGGGUUAGUGUUGUAAGAGCAAACAGUCUAAUCCUGUUUGGAAUGUGGAAGCCAUUUCUGAGCAAGUAUGAGGACACAGGUGCUUGAUUUGAGAUUGAAGACUGUUUUCAGCCUGGUCUUCCUGAAGGUUUCCUGGGGCCUGCAUCUGCCUUCUACUCCCAUGGCUGCUAGCACACACCUCCCAGAGGGCCAUAUUGCCACAUUAUGGCUAGAGAAGAGUAAAGAAGAAAAGAAGCUCUGAGAACAUUCACAGUUGUGCAUACUGACCCUGAAUCAAAUCA